AGUGAACGCUGGCGGCGUGCUUAACACAUGCAAGUCGAACGAGAACGGAAUAUAGCUUGCUAUAUUUGUCAGCUAAGUGGCGCACGGGUGAGUAAUGUAUAGAUAACCUGCCCUUAAGAAAGGAAUAACAGUCGGAAACGACUGCUAAUGCCCUAUAUGCCUUUAAUACAUAAGUAUGCAAGGGAAACGCUUUAGUGCUUAAGGAUAGGUCUGUAUGGUAUCAGCUUGUUGGUGAGGUAAUGGCUCACCAAGGCUAUGACGCCUAACUGGUUUGAGAGGAUGAUCAGUCACACUGGAACUGAGACACGGUCCAGACUCCUACGGGAGGCAGCAGUGGGGAAUAUUGCACAAUGGACGAAAGUCUGAUGCAGCAACGCCGCGUGGAGGAUGACACAUUUCGGUGCGUAAACUCCUUUUAUAUAGGAAGAUAAUGACGGUACUAUAUGAAUAAGCACCGGCUAACUCCGUGCCAGCCGCCGCCGUAAGAC
rnacentral:rRNA from 1 species